rnacentral:rRNA from 1 species
UACGUAGGGGGCGAGCGUUGUCCGAAGUUACUGGGCGUAAAGCGCGCGUAGGCGGUCCUUUAAGUUGAUUGUGAAAUCUUCACGGCUCAACCGGAAAACUGCGGUCAAAACUGGAGGACUUGAGGGAGGCAGAGGAAAGUGGAAUUCCCGGUGUAGUGGUGAUAUGCGUAGAUAUUCGGAAGAACACCAGUGGCGAAGGCGGCUCACUGGUCCGGUACUGACGCUGAGGUGCGAAAGCGUGGGGAGCAAACAGG